AUAACGUCCGGGAAACCGGAGCUAAUACGGGAUGAUCAUUUGAAUCGCAUGAUUGAAAUGUAAAAGUGGGGAGUAAUCCUCACACUAUGAGAUGGGCCCGCGGCGCAUUAGCUAGUUGGUAAGGUAAUGGCUUACCAAGGCAACGAUGCGUAGCCGACCUGAGAGGGUGAUCGGCCACACUGGAACUGAGACACGGUCCAGACUCCUACGGGAGGCAGCAGUAGGGAAUCAUCCGCAAUGGGCGAAAGCCUGACGGUGCAACGCCGCGUGAACGAUGAAGGUUUUCGGAUCGUAAAGUUCUGUUAUGAGGGAAGAACAAGUGCCGUUCGAAUAGGGCGGCACCUUGACGGUACCUCACGAGAAAGCCCCGGCUAACUACGUG
rnacentral:rRNA from 1 species